CCGGAUUCACUGGGUUUAAAGGGUGCGUAGGCGGACAGGUAAGUCCGUGGUGAAAUCUCCGAGCUUAACUCGGAAACUGCCAUGGAUACUAUUUGUCUUGAAUACUGUGAAGGUGAGCGGAAUAUGUCAUGUAGCGGUGAAAUGCUUAGAUAUGACAUAGAACACCAAUUGCGAAGGCAGCUCACUGCGCAGCGAUUGACGCUGAGGCACGAAAGCGUGGGGAUCAAACAGGAUUAGAUACCCUGGUAGUCCACGCCCUAAACGAUGGAUACUCGACAUACGUGAUAUGACUAUGUGUGUCUGAGCGAAAGCAUUAAGUAUCCCACCUGGGAAGUACGACCGCAAGGUUGAAACUCAAAGGAAUUGGCGGGGGUCCGCACAAGCGGUGGAGCAUGUGGUUUAAUUCGAUGAUACGCGAGGAACCUUACCUGGGCUAGAAUGCAAUCUGACCGUGGGUGAAAGCUCAUUUUGUAGCAAUACACAGAUUGUAAGGUGCUGCAUGGCUGUCGUCAGCUCGUGCCGUGAGGUGUUGGGUUAAGUCCCGCAACGAGCGCAACCCCCAUCAGUAGUUGCCAUCAGGUAACGCUGGGAACUCUACUGAAACUGCCGUCGUAAGACGUGAGGAAGGAGGGGAUGAUGUCAAGUCAUCAUGGCCUUUAUGCCCAGGGCUACACACGUGCUACAAUGGGGCGUACAAAGGGCUGCCACUUAGCGAUAAGGAGCCAAUCCCAAAAAACGCCUCUCAGUUCAGAUCGCAGUCUGCAACUCGACUGCGUGAAGCUGGAAUCGCUAGUAAUCGUAUAUCAGCAAUGAUACGGUGAAUACGUUCCCGGACCUUGCACACACCGCCCGUCAAGCCAUGGAAGCUGGGUGUACCUAAAGUCGGUAACCGCUAAGGAGCCGCCUAGGGUAAAACUAGUAACUGGGGCUAAGUCGUAACAAGGUAACCGUAAAGGGCGAAUU
rnacentral:rRNA from 1 species